rnacentral:rRNA from 1 species
UCUUUAUGGGGUGACUGCGUACCUUUUGUAUAAUGGGUCAGCGACUUAUAUUCUGUAGCAAGGUUAACCGAAUAGGGGAGCCGAAGGGAAACCGAGUCUUAACUGGGCGUUAAGUUGCAGGGUAUAGACCCGAAACCCGGUGAUCUAGCCAUGGGCAGGUUGAAGGUUGGGUAACACUAACUGGAGGACCGAACCGACUAAUGUUGAAAAAUUAGCGGAUGACUUGUGGCUGGGGGUGAAAGGCCAAUCAAACCGGGAGAUAGCUGGUUCUCCCCGAAAGCUAUUUAGGUAGCGCCUCGUGAAUUCAUCUCCGGGGGUAGAGCACUGUUUCGGCAAGGGGGUCAUCCCGACUUACCAACCCGAUGCAAACUGCGAAUACCGGAGAAUGUUAUCACGGGAGACACACGGCGGGUGCUAACGUCCGUCGUGAAGAGGGAAACAACCCAGACCGCCAGCUAAGGUCCCAAAGUCAUGGUUAAGUGGGAAACGAUGUGGGAAGGCCCAGACAGCCAGGAUGUUGGCUUAGAAGCAGCCAUCAUUUAAAGAAAGCGUAAUAGCUCACUGGUCGAGUCGGCCUGCGCGGAAGAUGUAACGGGGCUAAACCAUGCACCGAAGCUGCGGCAGCGACGCUUAUGCGUUGUUGGGUAGGGGAGCGUUCUGUAAGCCUGUGAAGGUGUGCUGUGAGGCAUGCUGGAGGUAUCAGAAGUGCGAAUGCUGACAUAAGUAACGAUAAAGCGGGUGAAAAGCCCGCUCGCCGGAAGACCAAGGGUUCCUGUCCAACGUUAAUCGGGGCAGGGUGAGUCGACCCCUAAGGCGAGGCCGAAAGGCGUAGUCGAUGGGAAACAGGUUAAUAUUCCUGUACUUGGUGUUACUGCGAAGGGGGGACGGAGAAGGCUAUGUUGGCCGGGCGACGGUUGUCCCGGUUUAAGCGUGUAGGCUGGUUUUCCAGGCAAAUCCGGAAAAUCAAGGCUGAGGCGUGAUGACGAGGCACUACGGUGCUGAAGCAACAAAUGCCCUGCUUCCAGGAAAAGCCUCUAAGCAUCAGGUAACAUCAAAUCGUACCCCAAACCGACACAGGUGGUCAGGUAGAGAAUACCAAGGCGCUUGAGAGAACUCGGGUGAAGGAACUAGGCAAAAUGGUGCCGUAACUUCGGGAGAAGGCACGCUGAUAUGUAGGUGAGGUCCCUCGCGGAUGGAGCUGAAAUCAGUCGAAGAUACCAGCUGGCUGCAACUGUUUAUUAAAAACACAGCACUGUGCAAACACGAAAGUGGACGUAUACGGUGUGACGCCUGCCCGGUGCCGGAAGGUUAAUUGAUGGGGUUAGCGGUAACGCGAAGCUCUUGAUCGAAGCCCCGGUAAACGGCGGCCGUAACUAUAACGGUCCUAAGGUAGCGAAAUUCCUUGUCGGGUAAGUUCCGACCUGCACGAAUGGCGUAAUGAUGGCCAGGCUGUCUCCACCCGAGACUCAGUGAAAUUGAACUCGCUGUGAAGAUGCAGUGUACCCGCGGCAAGACGGAAAGACCCCGUGAACCUUUACUAUAGCUUGACACUGAACAUUGAGCCUUGAUGUGUAGGAUAGGUGGGAGGCUUUGAAGUGUGGACGCCAGUCUGCAUGGAGCCGACCUUGAAAUACCACCCUUUAAUGUUUGAUGUUCUAACGUUGACCCGUAAUCCGGGUUGCGGACAGUGUCUGGUGGGUAGUUUGACUGGGGCGGUCUCCUCCUAAAGAGUAACGGAGGAGCACGAAGGUUGGCUAAUCCUGGUCGGACAUCAGGAGGUUAGUGCAAUGGCAUAAGCCAGCUUGACUGCGAGCGUGACGGCGCGAGCAGGUGCGAAAGCAGGUCAUAGUGAUCCGGUGGUUCUGAAUGGAAGGGCCAUCGCUCAACGGAUAAAAGGUACUCCGGGGAUAACAGGCUGAUACCGCCCAAGAGUUCAUAUCGACGGCGGUGUUUGGCACCUCGAUGUCGGCUCAUCACAUCCUGGGGCUGAAGUAGGUCCCAAGGGUAUGGCUGUUCGCCAUUUAAAGUGGUACGCGAGCUGGGUUUAGAACGUCGUGAGACAGUUCGGUCCCUAUCUGCCGUGGGCGCUGGAGAACUGAGGGGGGCUGCUCCUAGUACGAGAGGACCGGAGUGGACGCAUCACUGGUGUUCGGGUUGUCAUGCCAAUGGCACUGCCCGGUAGCUAAAUGCGGAAGAGAUAAGUGCUGAAAGCAUCUAAGCACGAAACUUGCCCCGAGAUGAGUUCUCCCUGACUCCUUGAGAGUCCUGAAGGAACGUUGAAGACGACGACGUUGAUAGGCCGGGUGUGUAAGCGCAGCGAUGCGUUGAGCUAACCGGUACUAAUGAACCGUGAG